rnacentral:rRNA from 1 species
AUGGCAGGAGCAGGAGUCGGCGGCCGCAAGGCUCGCAACUUCGCGACCUUUCGCCUAUUCCCCCGCGACGGUGCCGCCGACCCCAACGACCGCGUCUUCGUCCGCGUCGACAACAACGCCUACACCAUCCCCGGCUUCGGCGACGACGAAGACCCUUCCCUCUCCCCCACCGCCGCCGCCGACCAAUUCCCUUCCUCCACCUCUGGCCCCCUCCCCGACCACGUCCGCCAGCAGAUCCUUGAGCUCGGCCUCCCCGACGAUGGCUACAACUACCUUCUCCAUCUCCGUGAGCUGCGGCCCUCCGCCGUGGCCUCCUCCUUCGUACCCAGCCACACCGCCCGCCCAGAGCAACUUCCCCUGGACGUGAAGGCAUAUGAUGCAAGCAAGGUGCGGGUUGCUUCUGGCAAGGUCGAGGAAGAGCUGGACGAGGGGAGGACCAUGUGUAAGGUGGCCGCAAAGACGGCACCGGUCAGGCGAGUUGAGAAGGCCGUCGACCCUGACGUUGCAAGGUUGCUCGAUGAGAGCGAGGAUGAGGGUUUGGAGGAGGAUUUCGUCAUCAUGGCAAACCAAGCCGAAGGGGAUGAUAUGGAGGAUGAAAGUGAGGAAGAGGGGGGCGGUGUGUUCAGUGAUGUGGAAAAUGAUGAGGAGUUCGAGGAUGAAGAGGGUGAGCCCAAGCCGAGGGUGCCACGGUUGCUGGAUGAACAAUUUGAUCUGCUUGCUUUGGAAGAAUAUGGAGCUAGUGAUGAUGAUGAUGGAGCUGUUAGAGAUGGGGAACAUGAACUCCCAACUGAGGUUAUAGAUGAAUUGAAGCUGUUCCACAAUCAAAAUGUAUGCGUUGAUGAAGAAUAUAGAACACCAGCAGAUUUUGUUCGUGGAAAACUUGACUCAACCACCGCUGAGGAGGUGGAUGAAUCUGCUAAUGUGAUCCAAAAGUGUGCUGAAUAUGCUGAAAGGUAUUUAAAUGAAACUGCAGAAGAUGAAGAUGUCUUGCUUGUUUCGGAAAGCAGUGAUGAAUCUGAAGUUUGGGACUGUGAGACCAUUGUUUCCACGUACUCUAACUUGGACAAUCACCCUGGCAAAAUUCAAACUCCAGGAAAUCCUAAAAAUCGUCUUCCCAAAGUUUUCCCUGGGGAAACAGCAACAACGAAAGAUAUCAUCAAGCUUCAUGGUAAAGAGAAACUUCCUGUAGAUUACCUGCCACAGAGGAAAAGAAAAGUUGAAAAGGAGAAGAAAGCAAAGCCCACAGAAUCUUCAGAUGCUGAAUAUUUUGAAAAGGUAGUAGUUCAGAAGGAAACAAAAGAUGAAAAGAAAGCUAGAAAGUCUGCAGUAAAAGAAGAGAAGAGAGAAGCCCGGAAAGCAAAGAAAGAGCUCAAAGAACUAUAUAAAUUUGAAACACAGAAGGCUCAGAAAGUUGCUGCUGUUACAGGACCAUCUUCCAUACGGCUAAUAUAA